rnacentral:rRNA from 1 species
AAAUUGAAGAGUUUGAUCAUGGCUCAGAUUGAACGCUGGCGGCAGGCCUAACACAUGCAAGUCGAACGGUAACAGAAAGCAGCUUGCUGCUUUGCUGACGAGUGGCGGACGGGUGAGUAAUGUCUGGGAAACUGCCUGAUGGAGGGGGAUAACUAUUGGAAACGGUAGCUAA